UUUAAUUAAAACAUCAGAAAUUGAUAAUUCUAUAACGUUUCCUUCCCACUGUUAUUCAAACGGCAAAUAAAUUAUAUAUUCCACUAUCA